rnacentral:rRNA from 2 species
GCGGAACUGGUGAGUAACACGUGGGAAACCUGCCCAGAAGCGGGGGAUAACACCUGGCAACGGAGGCUAAUACCGCAUAACAACUUGGACCGCAUGGCUUAGCUUGAAAGAUGGCUUCGGCUAUCACUUUUGGAUGGUCCCGCGGCGUAUUAGCUAGAUGGUGGGGUAACGGCUCACCAUGGCAAUGAUACGUUGCCAACCUGAGAGGGUAAUCGGCCACAUUGGGACUGAGCCACGGCCCAAACUCCUACGGGAGGGAGCAGUAGGGAAUCUUCCACAAUGGACGAAAGUCUGAUGGAGCAACGCCGCGUGAGUGAAGAAGGGU